rnacentral:rRNA from 1 species
GAUGAACGCUGGCGGCGUGCCUAAUACAUGCAAGUCGAGCGAAUCUUUUGGGAGCUUGCUCCCAAAAGAUUAGCGGCGGACGGGUGAGUAACACGUGGGCAACCUGCCUAUAAGACUGGGAUAACUUCGGGAAACCGGAGCUAAUACCGGAUACGUUCUUUUCUCGCAUGAGAGAAGAUGGAAAGACGGCUUCUAGCUGUCACUUAUAGAUGGGCCCGCGGCGCAUUAGCUAGUUGGUGGGGUAAUGGCUCACCAAGGCGACGAUGCGUAGCCGACCUGAGAGGGUGAUCGGCCACACUGGGACUGAGACACGGCCCAGACUCCUACGGGAGGCAGCAGUGGGGAAUCUUCCGCAAUGGACGAAAGUCUGACGGAGCAACGCCGCGUGAACGAAGAAGGCCUUCGGGUCGUAAAGUUCUGUUGUUAGGGAAGAACAAGUACCAGAGUAACUGCUGGUACCUUGACGGUACCUAACCAGAAAGCUACGGCUAACUACGUGCCAGCCGCCACCGUAACAC